GACGAACCGUGCGAACGUUGUUCGGAUUCACUGGGCUUAAAGGGCGCGUAGGCGGGCGCGUAAGUCCGGGGUGAAAGCCUCCAGCUCAACUGGAGAACAGCCUGGAUACUGCGGGCCUCGAGGGGGGUAGGGGCGGGCGGAACUUCCGGUGGAGCGGUGAAAUGCGUAGAUAUCGGAAGGAACACCGGUGGCGAAGGCGGCAUCCUGGACCGGCAUUGACGCUGAUGAGCGAAAGCCAGGGGAGCAAACGGG
rnacentral:rRNA from 1 species